GAUGAAGAACUUAGCGAAAUGCGAUAAGUAGUGUGAAUUGCAGAAUUCAGUGAAUCAUCGAAUCUUUGAACGCACAUUGCGCCUCCUGGUAUUCCGGGAGGCAUGCCUGUUCGAGCGUCAUUGCUGCCCUCAAGCACGGCUUGUGUGUUGGGCCUCCGUCCUCCUCCCGGGGGACGGGCCCGAAAGGCAGCGGCGGCACCGCGUCCGGUCCUCGAGCGUAUGGGGCUUCGUCACCCGCUCUUGUAGGCCCGGCCGGCGCUUGCCGACACAUCAAUCUUUUUUCCAGGUUGACCUCGGAUCAGGUAGGGAUACCCGCUGAACUUAAGCAUAUCAAUAAGCGGAGGA
rnacentral:misc_RNA from 1 species